AAGGUGACGUUCCUCAGCGUUGGCGAAAGAAGGACAACAUUUCUAACCAGGAUUGUGUUAACGUGCUGCAUGUUGGACUUAAGUCAGCGCAAAAAAGUAAAGAAUCAAUAUUUGAUGGAAGUGGUACUCCAACAUGGCCAGGAACACAGAGGGGCCGUGAUGCUGAACCCUUACGAGACUUUAAGCACGACCACCAUGUUGGUGCGUACGAGGUGGUCGUGAAGUUGGAGUGCCUGCUACAGCUGUUCCAGAAGUGCUUUGAGUGCUGCAGUGGGUGCAGCAUCAGUACGGAGCGCGAGGGCUGCUUCUUCUACGUCACGCAGAAGUGUCUGAAAUGUCGCUACAGCAGGGAGUGGACAAGCCACCCACCUGACCAGAUCAUCAGAGACCCAGCAGACAACCAGGAGGUCAAAACAGAGGUCCUGCCAUCAUCUUCAUCAUCAUCAUCGGAGGAGGAGGAGGCGAGGGAGGAGGAGGAGACACACAAAACCUCAAACCUGAGCUCCCAGUUGGCU
ensembl:lncRNA